AAGCAUAUCAAUAAGCGGAGGAAAAGAAACCAACAGGGAUUGCCCUAGUAACGGCGAGUGAAGCGGCAACAGCUCAAAUUUGAAAUCUGGCUCUUUUAGAGUCCGAGUUGUAAUUUGCAGAGGGCGCUUUGGCUUUGGCAGCGGUCCAAGUUCCUUGGAACAGGACGUCACAGAGGGUGAGAAUCCCGUACGUGGUCGCUGGCUAUUGCCGUGUAAAGCCCCUUCGACGAGUCGAGUUGUUUGGGAAUGCAGCUCUAAAUGGGAGGUACAUUUCUUCUAAAGCUAAAUAUUGGCCAGAGACCGAUAGCGCACAAGUAGAGUGAUCGAAAGAUGAAAAGCACUUUGGAAAGAGAGUCAAACAGCACGUGAAAUUGUUGAAAGGGAAGCGCUUGCAGCCAGACUUGCUUACAGUUGCUCAUCCGGGUUUCUACCCGGUGCACUCUUCUGUAGGCAGGCCAGCAUCAGUUUGGGCGGUAGGAUAAAGGUCUCUGUCACGUACCUCCUUUCGGGGAGGCCUUAUAGGGGAGACGACAUACUACCAGCCUGGACUGAGGUCCGCGCAUCUGCUAGGAUGCUGGCGUAAUGGCUGUAAGCGGCCCGUCUUGAAACACGGACCAAGGAGUCUAACAUCUAUGCGAGUGUUUGGGUGUCAAGCCCGAGCGCGUAAUGAAAGUGAACGGAGGUGGGAACCCGCAAGGGUGCACCAUCGACCGAUCCUGAUGUCUUCGGAAGGAUUUGAGUAAGAGCAUGGCUGUUGGGACCCGAAAGAUGGUGAACUAUGCUUGAAUAGGGUGAAGCCAGAGGAAACUCUGGUGGAGGCUCGCAGCGGUUCUGACGUGCAAAUCGAUCGUCAAAUUUGGGCAUAGGAGCGAAAGACUAAUCGAACUAUCUAUUACCUGGUUC
rnacentral:rRNA from 1 species